rnacentral:rRNA from 1 species
AUUGAACGCUGGCGGCAUGCUUUACACAUGCAAGUCGAACGGCAGCACGGGGGCAACCCUGGUGGCGAGUGGCGAACGGGUGAGUAAUGCAUCGGAACGUACCCAGUCGUGGGGGAUAACGCAGCGAAAGUUGUGCUAAUACCGCAUACGACCUGAGGGUGAAAGCGGGGGACCGUAAGGCCUCGCGCGAUUGGAGCGGCCGAUGUCUGAUUAGCUAGUUGGUGGGGUAAAGGCCCACCAAGGCGACGAUCAGUAGCGGGUCUGAGAGGAUGAUCCGCCACACUGGGACUGAGACACGGCCCAGACUCCUACGGGAGGCAGCAGUGGGGAAUUUUGGACAAUGGGGGCAACCCUGAUCCAGCCAUGCCGCGUGCGGGAAGAAGGGCCUCGGUUGUAACGACGUUCGUCGGAAGAAAGUACGACAUGGACUAAUACUACUGUGUGG